rnacentral:rRNA from 1 species
AUUGAACGCUGGCGGCAGGCCUAACACAUGCAAGUCGAACGGUAACAGGAAGCAGCUUGCUGCUUCGCUGACGAGUGGCGGACGGGUGAGUAAUGUCUGGGAAACUGCCUGAUGGAGGGGGAUAACUACUGGAAACGGUAGCUAAUACCGCAUAACGUCGCAAGACCAAAGAGGGGGACCUUAGGGCCUCUUGCCAUCGGAUGUGCCCAGAUGGGAUUAGCUAGUAGGUGGGGUAACGGCUCACCUAGGCGACGAUCCCUAGCUGGUCUGAGAGGAUGACCAGCCACACUGGAACUGAGACACGGUCCAGACUCCUACGGGAGGCAGCAGUGGGGAAUAUUGCACAAUGGGCGCAAGCCUGAUGCAGCCAUGCCGCGUGUAUGAAGAAGGCCUUCGGGUUGUAAAGUACUUUCAGCGGGGAGGAAGGGAGUAAAGUUAAUACCUUUGCUCAUUGACGUUACCCGCGGAAGAAGCACCGGCUAACUCCGUG